CAGCAGCCGCGGUAAUACGAAGGGGGCUAGCGUUGCUCGGAAUCACUGGGCGUAAAGGGUGCGUAGGCGGGUCUUUAAGUCAGAGGUGAAAUCCUGGAGCUCAACUCCAGAACUGCCUUUGAUACUGAGGAUCUUGAGUUCGGGAGAGGUGAGUGGAACUGCGAGUGUAGAGGUGAAAUUCGUAGAUAUUCGCAAGAACACCAGUGGCGAAGACGGCUCACUGGCCCGAUACUGACGCUGAGCACGAAAGCGUGGGGAGCAAACAGGAUUAGAUACCCCCGUAGUCCCUGUCUCUUAUACA
rnacentral:rRNA from 1 species